ensembl:lncRNA
GCAUUGUCUAUCCCUGCCACUGUAGGAAUACCUGCAAAUAUUACUUGUAUGCCUGCAUUGUCAACUAAACUCCCCAGCCCCCUAAACUUGGUAGCAUUUCCACGUGAAGCCUUAUCUAAUCCAGUAACCCACCAAUCUGAUGCCAAAGGGUAACGGUGCCGCAGUUAGUAGUAAGACUAAAUAGUAGCACUUAACCGUAAUCCAGCAGGGGAUGAGGCCGAGCUUGUCUUCUGCCAGGGCUGCUCUCAGCCCCAGGGCACGGCGAGCGGCUGCGGGCAGUGCAUCUCCCAGCUGAGGUGCCUGUAAACAUCUGCCAGCUGUCCUUGUGGAGGGCCCGUCAUCGUCAUGGGAACUGAUUGUAACAGCACAAAGGUUCCAGGAGCGUGGGUGAUGUCAGCUGUGACAUCCUCUGGGGGGCCUGGAGCCGCCCUUUUUUGGCCUUGCAGCCCAUCAAGCCAAAGCCUGCUGUCCUGCACGUGGUCCCACCGGGCAGAAACUCUUGGGACGGAGGAAGGUUCAGGGGAGGGGACAGAUGCCUGAGGGCAUUCUUUGAUUCCAUCCCGAGAGUUGUCUUUGUCUGUGUUCUUUCCAUGUCGUGUGGUUUUUCUUUGCUUAUCCUUUUGCAAAGGAUCCUUUUCUUUCUUUUAUGCUUCUUUCUCUGUUGCUUUGCAUGGCACUGCUUUGGUUGUUUGUUGGUUUUUUUCCCCUUCCUUUCAGGCCAAGCCCCAGGGGCUGCUAGGGCAAUGUCCUCACUUGGAGGGGGAGGCUGGGUUUCCCAUCUGAGGGCUUCAUGCACCAAUAGCAAGGAAAACUCAGACACAGAGCAAUGCUAAGCAAAGGCACGCCUUUUCUGAGACACUGUCUCAAGCUCCCUGAGCUCUUUUUUCCUACGAGGUAACUCCCCUGCUUUUUUCCAUCUCUUAUUACAACAAGAGAGAUUUCCAUCGCUCUUACAACAGCUCGCCAAAUAAUGUUCUUACCCACAGAAGCUUUCCCUUUUCUCAGUAAGAGUCGCUCUAAUCCCGGGCUGAUUCCCUAAAACCAAGUGUAAUUUUUCUCCUUCGCAGAAACCAGUCACCAACAGAAGUUGUCCUGUUAGCCCACAUCCACCAAAAAUCCCUCAAAUACACUAUUCUUACAGCCAAACCAGACCAUUUUCUGUUCAGUUGCAGUGCACUUACGGACCGUAUUUCUAGUCUUGUUCCUGCUGAGGUAGUGGUAAAGAAACCCCAGUCUGCCUGACAGCAAUACAUUGCUCAGAGUGAAGCUGCUGGAGCACACAAAAUGCUGUCAGGCGUCCGAGCUGAGCAACAGACUUCAUUCCUGAAUUGCACAGCUACCAGUAGAAGUGACCUCCACGCUGUUUGGCCUGUCCAAGGAGUUCACGCAGCUCUGAGUACCCCCAUUUCUACACAGAGUGGUAUCCCCCGUCGGCUAUCAGCUGCUACUGUAAGCUUUUUUUUGCUGCUUGAAGCCAGAGGGGCCAGACCCAGCUGGCCCUUAGGGACCUCCUUUGACCCAGGCCUCCAACGGAAGUGUACCACUGGUUAACCCAGAAUGGCAACUGUAGACCAAGGCUAUCACAG